CAUGCUACACGUGGUCAGAUCAACAGGGGGGAAAUAUAUAAAAAGGGCAAAAUAUUUCUUGCUGACCUGAAUCUGUAGCUUGGAGAAAGAUUGAUCAAAAGCCGAUAUAAAGGAUUUAUGACCGGGGUGUUUUAGCUUCAAUUCCCUGUACUUAAUGCAGUCUUCCACAUCUGAUGAUGGGCCAAGUAGUUGGACAACCAGGUCGAAUGUUGUCUUCUUUCUACGUGAUGCUGAAGCAUAAAAAGGAGAAGCUUACCAGAAUGACGAGAGGGUUUCACUUUCAGAAGUGUACACCCUUCCUCCAUGGCAUUGCUGACCUCAUCAUUUGAA